GACAGUGGAAACUACAGCUGUCAGGCCACUAACACCUAUGGUUCCAAUACAUCUCCUAAUACAGAAAUACAUGUUUUAUAUGGUGCAAGGACUCCAGUGAUUAUCAUUGACCCUCCUGGUAACAUAGCUGAGGGAAGCAGAGUGACUCUGACCUGCAGCAGUGAUGCCAACCCACCAGUGGAGAGCUACACCUGGUUUAAGGUGAAUGAGUCCACUGCAGUAGGAUCAGGACAGCAGUACAGCAUCACUAACAUCAGCUCUGAGGAUGGAGGACAGUACUACUGUGAGGCCAGGAACAAAUAUGGAGCUGAGAACUCAACUACUGUGUCCAUCACUGUUACAAGUUGGCAGAGCCCUCUCUCCACUGCUGUGAUAACAGUCUCUGUCUGUGGAGCUGUGGGACUCCUCUGUUUGGUUUUCUUAAUGAG